UAUCUGCCGUGGGCGCUGGAGAACUGAGGGGGGCUGCUCCUAGUACGAGAGGACCGGAGUGGACGCAUCACUGGUGUUCGGGUUGUCAUGCCAAUGGCACUGCCCGGUAGCUAAAUGCGGAAGAGAUAAGUGCUGAAAGCAUCUAAGCACGAAACUUGCCCCGAGAUGAGUUCUCCCUGAGACUUWAAGUCUCCUGAAGGAACGUUGAAGACGACGACGUUGAUAGGCCGGGUGUGUAAGCGCAGCGAUGCGUUGAGCUAACCGGUACUAAUGAACCGUGAGGCUUAACCUUACAACGCCGAAG
rnacentral:rRNA from 1 species